rnacentral:rRNA from 1 species
GGCGGAAUGUGUCAUGUAGCGGUGAAAUGCAUAGAUAUGACAUGGAACACCAAUUGCGAAGGCAGCUCACUAAACUAUUACUGACGCUCAUGGACGAAAGCAUGGGGAGCGAACAGGAUUAGAUACCCUGGUAGUCCAUGCUGUAAACUAUGAUCACUAGAUGUUGGCGAUAUAUUGUCAGUGUUUUAGAGAAAUCGUUAAGUGAUCCACCUGGGGAGUACAUUCGCAAGAAUGAAACUCAAAGGAAUUGACGGGGGCCCGCACAAGCGGUGGAGCAUGUGGUUUAAUUCGAUGAUACGCGAGGAACCUUACCAAGACUUAAAUGUAUUUUGCUAAAUUGAGAAAUCAGUUGUUCUUCGGACAAUUUACAAGGUGCUGCAUGGUUGUCGUCAGCUCGUGCCGUGAGGUGUCGGGUUAAGUCCCAUAACGAGCGCAACCCCUAUUUUUAGUUACCAGCGAAUAAUGUCGGGGACUCUAGAAACACUGCCUGUG